UUUGGUCCCCGGGGCGCUGGCUGGCGCCGUGGAGGGACGGGUCGGCGGCGUCCAUCACCUCCACCUCGGAGGAAUCAUCGCUUGACUCCUCCCCCUCGUGGCUCCGACGGCAUCCUUGCUUCUUUGAACGAACACCUAUAGUUUGCUCUGCCUUUAUCUGUUAACUGAACUGUGCAGUUUCAUUGGCGCCCAAGGCCAUCUUCACUGCUAACUCCUGAGAAGGAGGAAAAGAUCUCAAAUCGGAACCAGGAAUGAUUAAUUGUGUCUUUUGAUUGCAGCUUUGUUCCAUUGUUGUAAAAACAUCAGUAAAUAAGGAACAGAAAGAAAGAAAGUUUGAGUUAUUAC
rnacentral:lncRNA from 1 species